CCUACGGGUGACAGCAGUGAGGAAUAUUGGUCAAUGGCCGUAAGGCUGAACCAGCCAAGUAGCGUGAGGGAAGACUGCCCUAUGGGUUGUAAACCUCUUUUAUGCGGGGAUAAAGGUGUCCACGUGUGGAUGUUUGCAGGUACCGCAUGAAUAAGGACCGGCUAAUUCCGUGCCAGCAGCCGCGGUAAUACGGAAGGUCCGGGCGUUAUCCGGAUUUAUUGGGUUUAAAGGGUGCGUAGGCGGGCUUUUAAGUCAGCGGUAAAAAUUCGGGGCUCAACCCCGUCCGGCCGUUGAAACUGGGGGCCUUGAGUGGGCGAGAAGAAGGCGGAAUGCGUGGUGUAGCGGUGAAAUGCAUAGAUAUCACGCAGAACCCCGAUUGCGAAGGCAGCCUUCCGGCGCCCUACUGACGCUGAGGCACGAAAGUGCGGGGAUCGAACAGGAUUAGAUACCCCAGUAGUC
rnacentral:rRNA from 1 species